AUGAGUUCGAACAAGAACAAUAUAACGACAAAUGUGAUAUCAGCUGCACAAAGAGCCCAUUUUGAGGAAUCCCCAUUAAUGCAAAAUGAGCAAGUGAUCAGAACACAAGGUGCUUUACACAGGCUUGUGGUCAUCACAGUGCUCUUUCUCGCCCUCACACAGUAUGGAUAUGGAAUCGCCUUUCAUUCAUCACUAAUGAGCAUUCAAUUUGCUGCAUCUGCAUUGGCGUUCAUCAGUUCGAUUGAAGUACUUUGGCAUAGUAAAAGUAAAAACGAUAUUGCGAAUCGACACAGUGUUUUUCUUCUUUAUCGAACCGCUGGAACGGUUUUCUUCAUCGCAUGCCUUUUUCUCAACUUGACCCAUUGCCUCGAAGACGUUAGUGAUCUCAAUUCAGCGACCCACUCGGAAGUUGGGAAUGAGACGGAAUCAGUUGAAGAGGCUCAUGAGCAUCCCAUAGCUUGUAGGUUACCUUUGAAUUAAAUAUCAUAAAAGUUGAAAAUAUACCUCAUGUUCAAACCACUCAAUUUGAACGUUUGGUUUUGUCAAAACAAGUAUGAAAAUUAAACCCACUCUGUAGGUUCUAGUAUAGUUUUGUACGUCAUAUGCACAAUGACAUAUUAGUUCAAAGGUACUCUGCACCUUUUUUCUGAUAGUGAACAUCAAGUUUUACCAUUCAAGUAAUGUGUCAAUCAUUAACAAAGAAUCGCGAUAAGAUAAGAGGUCUCCCGAUGAUGCAGGAGCUGGAGUGGAAAUGAAGUGUACUACCCGUUUUAUAUUGAGAUACACGAACCACACACUGUAUCUCUCGACUGCUGAUCUUGUCAUCAAAGCAAUCUUCAGUGUCAUCUACAAUGCACUUUCUAUUCACUUUGUUCCAAAUUUCAUCGCCUUGGUGGCACCGCCUGUGCUCACUAUUUUGAUAUUUUUCUACAAUGUUAACGAGCUCGACUACUUUUUCGGAUGGCUCAAUCAUCAUCUGGAACCUGUCACGUCUAUUUUGCUCACCAUAGUUUGCAUUUCAAUCGCCAUUUAUUCAUUAAUCCGCAAAAAACAAUUCUUGUUAGCCGAAGGACCAAGGGAGUUCAAAAUUGACGAUAUCAGCAGUUCGGUGAAGGCCAAAAACAGUAGGCUUGAGAAAGUGGAUCAUGUGCAUGCCAGUUGUGAAUGGCCGCAAGGAUUUACGGUUUCUUUGAAAGCUUACAUAAAGGUAGAAAAGACCAACAAGGAUUGGGUAGCACAGGCUGCAAGUGACUUCUACGAGCUCAAAGCACUCCUCCAUCACGAAAUCAAAGCACAAGGUGCCAAAGAAGUUGUUGUCGAACCGGUUUUCGUUGACCAAACCGAGCUUACCACAGAUUUUAUGGAUCCCAUCUGCAUUUCAAGGAGCUGUCACAAUGAGGAUGUUGGGUGUUGCACAAUUCCGAAAAGUACUGGAGACGUUUGA
rnacentral:misc_RNA from 1 species